AGAGUUUGAUCCUGGCUCAGGAUGAACGCUGGCGGUGCGCCUAAUGCAUGCAAGUCGAGCGACGCACUCCGGAGGGGUAACCCACUGGAAUGACGGAGCGGCGAACGGGUGAGUAACACGUGAGCAACCUGCCCCACAGAUCGGGAUAGCCCAGGGAAACCUGGAUUAAUACCGAAUAUCCUCCUAGGACCGCAUGGUCCAUUGAGGAAAUGCCUUUGUGCUGUGGGAUGGGCUCGCGAUUUAUCAGCUAGUUGGUGGGGUAACGGCCCACCAAGGCAUCGACGAAUAGCUGGUCUGAGAGGACGAUCAGCCACACUGGAACUGAGACACGGUCCAGACUCCUACGGGAGGCAGCAGCAGGGAAUCUUGCGCAAUGGGCGAAAGCCUGACGCAGCGACACCGCGUGGGGGAUGAGGGCCUUCGGGUUGUAAACCCCUUUCAGGAGGGAAGAAAUUGACGGUACCUCCAGAAGAAGCACCGGCCAACUACGUGCCAGCAGCCGCGGUAAUACGUAGGGUGCAAGCGUUAUCCGGAAUCAUUGGGCGUAAAGAGCUCGUAGGCGGUUCAGCAAGUCGGCUGUGAAAGUUCGAGGCUCAACCUCGAAAUUGCAGUCGAUACUGCUGUGACUCGAGUCCGGUAGAGGAGAAUG
rnacentral:rRNA from 1 species